AAAGUCGUAACAAGGUAACCGUAGGUGAACCUGCGGUUGGAUCAUUACCAAUUUUAUCUUUUUCUUUGUUUCUUUUGGGGGAAAACCUCUCUCGAAAGAACAAAAAAAAAUAUAUCUACCCAAGUGUGAACCUUCUUUUUUUCAUUCUUGAACUGAAUUUGAGUCUUCAAAGACGGUCCUUGAAUGAGAAAAGUACCCACGUCUUUUUUAUAAACUUUUUGAAACAAAUAUAAAAUUUAAAAACAACUUUUGGCAACGGAUCUCUUGGCUCUC
rnacentral:misc_RNA from 1 species